AAUUUCGGGUAAUCGCAGAUAGGAAGUGCCUAUUUGAGGAAAGUCCAUGCUCGCACAAGCUGAGAUGCUUGUAGUGUUCGUGCUUAGUGAAACCAUAAGCUAAGGCUCUGACGGCGGGAAAAAAAGCUAAGGCAUUGCUAAGUUUGAGUAUCCCUGAAAGUGCCACAGUGACGAAGUUGUUUUGGAAACAAGACAAGUGGAACGCGGUAAACCCCUCGAGCGAGCAACCCAAACAUUGGUAGGGGCGCUUGACCCUUUGAAAAUGAACAAAGGGUUGAGGCAAUCAUGCAGAUAGAUGAUUACCAAUCUAAUAGGAACCUGCUCUAUUAGUGAACAGAACAUGGCUUAUAGAA
rfam:Aerococcus christensenii strain CCTG28831, complete genome.